GAUGAACGCUGGCGGCGUGCCUAAUACAUGCAAGUCGAGCGAACAGAUGAGGAGCUUGCUCCUCUGACGUUAGCGGCGGACGGGUGAGUAACACGUGUAUAACCUACCUAUAAGACUGGGAUAACUUCGGGAAACCGGAGCUAAUACCGGAUAAUAUAUUGAACCGCAUGGUUCAAUAGUGAAAUACGGUUUUUCUGUCACUUAUAGAUGGAUCCGCGCCGCAUUAGCUAGUUGGUAAGGUAACGGCUUACCAAGGCAACGAUGCGUAGCCGACCUGAGAGGGUGAUAGGCCACACUGGAACGGAGACACGGUCCAGACUCCUGCGGGAGGCAGCAGUAGGGAAUCUUCCGCAAUGGGCGAAAGCCUGACGGAGCAACGCCGCGUGAGUGAUGAAGGUCUUCGGAUCGUAAAGCUCUGUUAUUAGGGAAGAACAAAUGUGGAAGUAACUAUGCACGUCUUGACGGUACCUAAUCAGAAAGCCACGGCUAACUACGUG
rnacentral:rRNA from 1 species